UAAUUUGUGUCCCCGGUGAGUAUGUGUCAAAGCACCUCACCAAACAGUCAGCAACAGACUGUUCUCUGCUCUAUCUGGGAAGUGCGCAGUUAGGAGGCAGUCCUCACCACCCAGAACCUACUGAAGACAUUAAAGUGACUUCUAAAAAACAAGGGCACCGCCCUCCUGUCUCCCGGUCCCACUCCUGGUCUUCGUGCUCCUGAGUGAACUCUUUUUUUUGCUGACACGACACGAUACACAACUGGCCUUCCAGACUGCUCAUGACCUUGGCCAGGCCAGCACCUCCACACGAGGGCUAAGUGUGCCCAGACACUCCAGGAAGAAAACUGUGGGCGAGGUUGCAACGGUGGUGUUAGAUCGAGCUCUGGCUGAGGGAUUGGGCCUAGAGUAGAGUCCCAGCUGGAGCCAGAGAGGACGGCUGCGCGAAGCAUGCUGGGACUGGAGCGCAGUCUUCAACGUACUUUCACUAUUCAUCUGAAGCCCACAGUACUUCUACGGGUACUAAAGUAUAUGGAUGUUUUGGAAAGAGAGGAGGAAGAGAAAGUUGCUGCCAAAGGAAUAAGUGAAGAACUAAUCUCACAGUCAUUUUAAUAACAGAUAAGAGGAACUUCGACUCUCUGACUGAUUGAAUGAGAUACUGCUGGGUAAGAGUAGGUCCUCCAGACAGGAAUUAAGCUUAGCUGCCCAAGGACAGCAGUGGAGCAUCCAAAAUACUGAAUCUGACACAGCGACCAUUGAGAAAAAAGGCAAACCAAAGGUUUAAAUGGCAAGUGGGUUCAGAAGACUGGAGGCCUCGGAGUGUCUGUUUGGCUUUAUUUGUUCCUUCGGGUCAGACUGGGGCUCUAAUUUCUAUCUUGUACCAAGUGAUUUGUUCUGUCCAGGGCCUUCUUAUUUUUAA